rnacentral:rRNA from 1 species
ACGUGCCAGCAGCGCGGUAAUACGUAGGGUGCGAGCGUGUCGGGAAUUAUUGGGCGUAAGAGCUCGUCGGCCGGUUUGUCGCGUCGAUUGUGAAAGCCCGGGGCUUAAACCCUGGGUCUGCAGUCGAUACGGGCAGGCUAGAGUUCGGCAGGGGAGACUGGAAUUCCUGGUGUAGCGGUGAAAUGCGCAGAUAUCAGGAGGAACACCGGUGGCGAAGGGCGGGUCUCUGGGCCGAUACUGACGCUGAGGAGCGAAGCGUGGGGAGCGAACAGGAUUAGAUACCCUGGGUAGUCCACGCCGUAAACGGUGGGCACUAGGUGUGGGCAACAUUCCACGUUGUCCGUGCCGCAGCUAACGCAUUAAGUGCCCCGCCUGGGGAGUACGGCCGCAAGGCUAAAACUCAAAGGAAUUGACGGGGGCCCGCACGAGCGGCGGAGCAUGUGGCUUAAUUCGACGCAACGCGAAGAACCUUACCAAGGCUUGACAUACAUCGGAAACGGCCAGAGAUGGUCGCCCCCUUGUGGUCGGUGUACAGGUG